UACGUAGGAUCCAAGCGUUGUCCGGAUUUACUGGGUGUAAAGGGUGCGCAGGCGGACUGGUUAGUCAGGAGUGAAAUCUCGCGCUCAACGCCGAAACGUCUUUUGAUACUGCCAGUCUUGGAUAAGCGAGAGGUUCGUGGAAUUCCGAGUGUAGCAGUGAAAUGUGUAGAUAUUCGGAAGAACACCAGUGGCGAAGGCAGCGAACUGGCGCUUUAUCGACGCUCAGGCACGAAAAGCAUGGGGGAUCAAAACCAGG
rnacentral:rRNA from 1 species